rnacentral:rRNA from 1 species
UACGAAGGGUGCAAGCGUUAAUCGGAAUUACUGGGCGUAAAGUGUGCGUAGGCGGUUUGUUAAGUCUGUCGUGAAAUCCCCGGGCUCAACCUGGGAAUGGCAUUUUGAACUGGCAGCCUAGAGUGUGUCAGAGGGGGGUGGAAUUCCACGUGUAGCAGUGAAAUGCGUAGAUAUGUGGAGGAACACCAAUGGCGAAGGCAGCCCCCUGGGAUAACACUGACGCUCAUGUACGAAAGCGUGGGUAGCAAACAGG